UACGUAGGGGGCAAGCGUUGUCCGGAAUCAUUGGGCGUAAAGAGCGUGUAGGCGGCCCGAUAAGUCCGCUGUGAAAGUCCAGGGCUCAACCCUGGAAUGCCGGUGGAUACUGUCGGGCUCGAAUCCGGAAGAGGUGAGUGGAAUUCCUGGUGUAGCGGUGAAAUGCGCAGAUAUCAGGAGGAACACCAAUGGCGAAGGCAGCUCACUGGGACGGUAUUGACGCUGAUACGCGAAAGCGUGGGGAGCAAACAGG
rnacentral:rRNA from 1 species